GACGAACGCUGGCGGCGUGCUUAACACAUGCAAGUCGAACGGAAAGGCCCUGCUUUUGUGGGGUGCUCGAGUGGCGAACGGGUGUGUAACACGUGAGUAACCUGCCCUUGACUUUGGGAUAACUUCAGGAAACUGGGGCUAAUACCGGAGAGGAGCUCCUGCUGCAUGGUGGGGGUUGGAAAGUUUCGGCGGUUGGGGAUGGACUCGCGGCUCAUCAGCUUGUUGGUGGGGUAGUGGAUUACCAAGGCUUUGACGGGUAGCCGACGUGCAAAGGUAACCAGGCACGUAGCAACUGAGAUAAGAGCCGCAGGACUACGGGAGGCAGCAGUGGGGAAUAGUGCACAAUGGACGGAAGCCUGAUGCCAGAACCGCGCGUGAGGGAUGACGGCAUUCAGGUUGUAAACGGCAUUCGCCUGAAAAGAGGAGUGAGUGACGGUAAUGUGUAAAGAAGCACAGGCUAACUACGUG
rnacentral:rRNA from 1 species